UACGGAGGAUGCAAGCGUUAUCCGGAAUGAUUGGGCGUAAAGCGUCCGCAGGUGGCUGUGUAAGUCUGCUGUCAAAGAGCGAAGCUCAACUUCGUAAAGGCAGUGGAAACUACACGGCUAGAGUGCGUUCGGGGCAGAGGGAAUUCCUGGUGUAGCGGUGAAAUGCGCAGAGUAUCAGGAGAACACCGGUGGCGAAGGCGGCUCUG
rnacentral:rRNA from 1 species